UUUUCCACCACGAAACUGCAGCUGCCGUACAUAAAGAAGGACCAGAGCGACGUGUGGCCGCUGGUUGUCCCGUCCCCCUGCCCCAGUACGUUGAAGAAGAAGGUGAAGAAGAUCUCAUCCAGAAAGCCGUGCAUUCCGAAGAAAAGAAAGCGGGGUCUGACAUUGGAAUAAUGCAGAACACUUGAUUCAGGUCAUAGAAGAAGCAACACUUUGGGCACAGCACAACACAACCAAGUGAGCACUGGAAACCUGUUCUGGAUGUUGGGAAGCAGAAGAACAAGGUGCCAGCAGAUCCAGUGUCUGUGAGAGCUGCUGUCAGCUUCCAGAUGGUGCCUUAUUGCUACAUCCUUUAAGGUGUUGAACCCUGUGUCUUCACAUGGCCAAAAGAAGAGAAGGGUCAUAGGAAAUGAAACAGACUGCUGUUUUCAUGAGUGACCUGUUCUCGAGCCUAAGAAUCUCUUGGGCCACCCAGCCCCACAGAGGCCAGUAGGAGGUCAACUCUCCACCUCCCUAAAAAAAAAAAAAACGAGUGUGCGAGAAGUAUGUUGUAAUUGAAGUAGCAUACUGCCUGACACCCAAGAGGUUGCUCUAAUUGCCUUUCACCUCCUGCCAUGAUUCUGAGGCCCCCAGCCAUGUGGAACUGGAGAAGGGAGAUGAAAUAAUACCAGCAUCCUGAACCUGAAUGUCCAGCUUCGCCUUGUUCUUUGUGGAUUAUAAGACCAUUGAUUAAAUAAAUCCUUUCAUCAAAAUUAUCUUAAAAAAGAAACUACCAUCUAAAUCCAGUUAUUCCAUCUGACUUGGUAGCAGUGAUGUUUGGAGUUUAGGACCUAAAGGUGAAAUGGGGAAAAUCUGGGUGCUCGGAAAGACACCAGAAGCACACAGAAGAAGAUCAUAUGAAGACACAACAAGAAGGUGACUAGCUGCAAGCCAAGAAGAGAAGCCUCAGAAGAAAUCAAACGUACUAGCACCUUGAUCUUGGAAUUCCAGUCUCCAAAGCUGCGAGAAAAUAAAAUUCUGUUGCUUAAGCUGCCAA
ensembl:lncRNA novel transcript